rnacentral:rRNA from 1 species
UACGGGGGGUGCAAGCGUUGUUCGGAAUUACUGGGCGUAAAGGGCUCGUAGGUGGCCAACUAAGUCAGACGUGAAAUCCCUCAGCUUAACUGGGGAACUGCGUCUGAUACUGGAUGGCUUGAGUUUGGGAGAGGGAUGCGGAAUUCCAGGUGUAGCGGUGAAAUGCGUAGAUAUCUGGAGGAACACCGGCGGUGUAGACGGCUUUCUGGACCGUAGCUGACGCUGAGACACGAAAGCGUGGGGAGCAAACAGG